AAAAACUAAGGUGGUAUAUGAUGGAUCCGCGUCUGAUUAGCCAGUUGGUGAGGUAACGGCUCACCAAAGCGACGAUCAGUAGCCGGCCUGAGAGGGCGGACGGCCACAUUGGGACUGAGACACGGCCCAGACUCCUGCGGGAGGCAGCAGUGGGGGAUAUUGCACAAUGGGGGAAACCCUGAUGCAGCGACGCCGCGUGAGUGAAGAAGUAAUUCGUUACGUAAAGCUCUAUCAGCAGGGAAGAAAAUGACGGUACCUGACUAAGAAGCCCCGGCUAACUACGUGCCAGCAGCCGCGGUAAUACGUAGGGGGCAAGCGUUAUCCGGAAUUACUGGGUGUAAAGGGAGCGCAGACGGCAGUGCAAGUCUGGAGUGAAAGCCCGUGGCUUAACUACGGGACUGCUCUGGAAACUGUGCAGCUAGAGUGCAGGAGAGGCAGGCGGAAUUCCUAGUGUAGCGGUGAAAUGCGUAGAUAUUAGGAGGAACACCGGUGGCGAAGGCGGCCUGCUGGACUGUAACUGACGUUGAGGCUCGAAAGCGUGGGGAGCAAACAGGAUUAGAUACCCUGGUAGUCCACGCCGUAAACGAUGAUUACUAGGUGUCGGGGGACGAUAG
rnacentral:rRNA from 1 species